ensembl:lncRNA
GAGAGAAGGUAAGGGGACAGAGAGAAGAGAAGGUAAGGGGACAGAGAAGAGAGAAGGUAAGGGGACAGAGAGAAGAGAAGGUAAGGGGACAGAGAGAAGAGAAGUUAGGGGACAGAGAGAAGAGAAGGUAGGGGACAGAGAGAAGAGAAGGUAGGGGACAGAGGGAAGAGAAGGUAAGGGGACAGAGAGAAGAGAAGGUAGGGGACAGAGGGAAGAGAAGGUACGGGACAGAGGGAAGAGAAGGUAAGGGGAUAGAGGGAAGAGAAGGUAAGGGGACAGAGAGAAGAGAAGGUAGAAGACAGAGAGAAGAGAAGGUAGACACCUAGCGGUACCAGGAGCAGGACAGAUAUUGGAGUAUGAGUGUGACUGCAAUGGAGACGGUCUGCAUUGAGGACAGGGCUGGAGACAGUCUGCUCUGAGGACAGCUCUGAGGACAGGACUGGAGACCGUCUGCUCUGAGGACAGGACUGGAGACAGUCUGCUCUGAGGACAGGGCUGGAGACAGUCUGCUCUGAGGACAGGGCUGGAGACAGUCUGCUCUGAGGACAGGGCUGGAGACAGUCUGCUCUGAGGACAGGACUGGA